rnacentral:rRNA from 1 species
GAUCCAUGUGUCUACAUACAUAGAUUCUGUUCAUGGAUUAACGAAAAUGUGCAAGAGCUCUAUUUGUCUCUACCAUUCUAUGAGUCGCUUCCUUUUUGCGUAUGGCACCCCCACUCCCUUUGGCAGCAUCUACUAAUUCGGAAAUUAACCCCUCUAAUAUAUACAAGAAAAAAAGAUUUGUUUGGUAUACUGUGUGCUAAGUAUUCUUUUCCUAUCAAUGAACUUUUCAUAAUUUUCAUAAUCGAAUCCUCAUAUUUUAUUAUGAAAAUUAUGAAAAGUGGAGUAUUCUUACAAUAG